rnacentral:tRNA from 1 species
GGUUAUGGCUCAGGUUAGAGCACUUGCCUAGCAUGUGUGAGGCACUGGGUUCGAUUCUCAGCACCA